UACGUAGGGGGCGAGCGUUGUCCGGAAUUAUUGGGCGUAAAGAGCGUGUAGGCGGUUCGGUAAGUCUGCCGUGAAAACCUGGGGCUCCAACCCUGGGCGUGCGGUGGAUACUGCCGGGCUAGAGGGUGGUAGAGGCGAGUGGAAUUCCCCGGUGUAGCGGUGAAAUGCGCAGAUAUCGGGAGGAACACCAGUAGCGAAGGCGGCUCGCUGGGCCAUUCCUGACGCUGAGACGCGAAAGCUAGGGGAGCGAACAGG
rnacentral:rRNA from 1 species